AACGAACGCUGGCGGCAGGCUUAACACAUGCAAGUCGAGCGAGACCUUCGGGUCUAGCGGCGGACGGGUGAAUAACGCGUGGGAACGUGCCCUUCUCUACGGAAUAGCCCCGGGAAACUGGGAGUAAUACCGUAUACGCCCUUUGGGGGAAAGAUUUAUCGGAGAAGGAUCGGCCCGCGUUGGAUUAGGUAGUUGGUGGGGUAAUGGCCCACCAAGCCGACGAUCCAUAGCUGGUUUGAGAGGAUGAUCAGCCACACUGGGACUGAGACACGGCCCAGACUCCUACGGGAGGCAGCAGUGGGGAAUCUUAGACAAUGGGGGCAACCCUGAUCUAGCCAUGCCGCGUGAGUGAUGAAGGCCUUAGGGUUGUAAAGCUCUUUCAGCUGGGAAGAUAAUGACGGUACCAGCAGAAGAAGCCCCGGCUAACUCCGUGCCAGCAGCCGCGGUAA
rnacentral:rRNA from 1 species